rnacentral:piRNA from 1 species
GGCAAAAGGCAAAAGCAAAGUCCGU